rnacentral:tRNA from 1 species
CGUAGCUCAGCGGAUAGAGCACUGGCCUCCGGAGCCAGGGGCGUGGGUUCGAGUCCCGCCGGGG